CCUGAUGGCUCAGACGAUAAAGCAUCUGCCUGCAAUGUGGGAGACCCGGGUUCGAUUCCUGGGUCAGGA
rnacentral:tRNA from 1 species